UGGGGAAUAUUGGACAAUGGGCGAAAGCCUGAUCCAGCCAUGCCGCGUGUGUGAAGAAGGUCUUCGGAUUGUAAAGCACUUUAAGUUGGGAGGAAGGGCAGUAAGCGAAUACCUUGCUGUUUUUACGUUACCGACAGAAUAAGCACCGGCUAACUCUGUGCCAGCAGCCGCGGUAAUACAGAGGGUGCAAGCGUUAAUCGGAAUUACUGGGCGUAAAGCGCGCGUAGGUGGUUCGUUAAGUUGGAUGUGAAAUCCCCGGGCUCAACCUGGGAACUGCAUCCAAAACUGGCGAGCUAGAGUAGGGCAGAGGGUGGUGGAAUUUCCUGUGUAGCGGUGAAAUGCGUAGAUAUAGGAAGGAACAACAGUGGCGAAGGCGACCACCUGGGCUCAUACUGACACUGAGGUGCGAAAGCGUGGGGAGCAAACAGG
rnacentral:rRNA from 1 species